GCAGUCGAACGAUGAAGCCCUUCGGGGUGGAUUAGUGGCGAACGGGUGAGUAACACGUGGGCAAUCUGCCCUUCACUCUGGGACAAGCCCUGGAAACGGGGUCUAAUACCGGAUAACACUCCUGCCUGCAUGGGCGGGGGUUAAAAGCUCCGGCGGUGAAGGAUGAGCCCGCGGCCUAUCAGCUUGUUGGUGGGGUAAUGGCCCACCAAGGCGACGACGGGUAGCCGGCCUGAGAGGGCGACCGGCCACACUGGGACUGAGACACGGCCCAGACUCCUACGGGAGGCAGCAGUGGGGAAUAUUGCACAAUGGGCGAAAGCCUGAUGCAGCGACGCCGCGUGAGGGAUGACGGCCUUCGGGUUGUAAACCUCUUUCAGCAGGGAAGAAGCGAAAGUGACGGUACCUGCAGAAGAAGCGCCGGCUAACUACGUGCCAGCAGCCGCGGUAAUACGUAGGGCGCAAGCGUUGUCCGGAAUUAUUGGGCGUAAAGAGCUCGUAGGCGGCUUGUCACGUCGGAUGUGAAAGCCCGAGGCUUAACCUCGGGUCUGCAUUCGAUACGGGCUAGCUAGAGUGUGGUAGGGGAGAUCGGAAUUCCUGGUGUAGCGGUGAAAUGCGCAGAUAUCAGGAGGAACACCGGUGGCGAAGGCGGAUCUCUGGGCCAUUACUGACGCUGAGGAGCGAAAGCGUGGGGAGCGAACAGGAUUAGAUACCCUGGUAGUCCACGCCGUAAACGUUGGGAACUAGGUGUUGGCGACAUUCCACGUCGUCGGUGCCGCAGCUAACGCAUUAAGUUCCCCGCCUGGGGAGUACGGCCGGCAGGU
rnacentral:rRNA from 1 species